CCGCUGGAGUCCUUAGGGAAAUCGCAAACCGGUUAUCCCUAGCCUGAGGGAAUGGGACUAAGCUCACUAUAGACAACGAGUCGAUACUAGUGUAAGUAAAGCUACAAGCGCGAUCAUACGGGUCGAAAGGUAACCGCCAACGGGACUGAACACGGCCAGAUCCUACGGAGGCAGCACUGGGAAUUUUGAACAAUGGGCGCAAGCCUGAUCUAGCCAUGCCGCGUGUCUGAAGAAGGCAUUCGGCUUGUAAAGGACUUUUGUUCGGGAGGAAAUCCCGCUGGUUAAUACCUGGCGGGGAUGACAGUACCGGAAGAAUAAGCACCGGCGAACUACGUGCCAGCAGCCGCGGUAAUACGUAGGGUGCAAGCGUUAUUCGGAAUUACUGGGCGUAAAGCGUGCGCAGGCGGUUGUGCAAGUCUGAUGUGAAAGCCCCGGGCUUAACCUGGGAACGGCAUUGGAGACUGCACGACUAGAGUGCGUCAGAGGGGGGUAGAAUUCCACGUGUAGCAGUGAAAUGCGUAGAGAUGUGGAGGAAUACCGAUGGCGAAGGCAGCCCCCUGGGAUGACACUGACGCUCAUGCACGAAAGCGUGGGGAGCAAACAGGAUUAGAUACCCUGGUAGUCCACGCCCUAAACGAUGUUAACUAGCUGUUGGGGGUUUGAAUCCUUGGUAGCGUAGCUAACGCGUGAAGUUGACCGCCUGGGGAGUACGGCCGCAAGGUUAAAACUCAAAGGAAUUGACGGGGACCCGCACAAGCGGUGGAUGAUGUGGAUUAAUUCGAUGCAACGCGAAAAACCUUACCUGCUCUUGACAUGUAACGAACUUGGUAGAGAUAUCUUGGUGCCCGAAAGGGAGCGGAACACAGGUGCGGCAUGGCAGUCGUCAGCUCGGUCGGAGAUGUGGGUAAGUCCCGCAACGAGCAAACCUCGGGAGUAGGUGCCAGAGUGGUACGCACUGUAAGGAGUCC
rnacentral:rRNA from 1 species